rnacentral:rRNA from 1 species
AUUGAACGCUGGCGGCAUGCUUUACACAUGCAAGUCGAACGGUAACAGGGUGCUUGCACCGCUGACGAGUGGCGAACGGGUGAGUAAUGCGUCGGAACGUGCCGAGUAGCGGGGGAUAACGCAGCGAAAGUUGUGCUAAUACCGCAUACGUACUGAGGUAGAAAGUGGGGGACCUUCGGGCCUCACGCUAUUCGAGCGGCCGACGUCUGAUUAGCUAGUAGGUGAGGUAAAGGCUCACCUAGGCGACGAUCAGUAGCGGGUCUGAGAGGAUGAUCCGCCACACUGGGACUGAGACACGGCCCAGACUCCUACGGGAGGCAGCAGUGGGGAAUUUUGGACAAUGGGCGAAAGCCUGAUCCAGCCAUGCCGCGUGUCUGAAGAAGGCCUUCGGGUUGUAAAGGACUUUUGUUAGGGAGGAAAUCCCUAGUGCUAAUAACACUGGGGGAUGACAGUACCUGAAGAAUAAGCACCGGCUAACUACGUGCCAGCCGCCGCGGUAA